rnacentral:rRNA from 1 species
UUCCGGUUGAUCCUGCCGGAAGCUACUGCUAUUGGGAUUCGAUUAAGCCAUGCAAGUCGAAUGAAUUCAUAUUCAUGGCAUACGGCUCAGUAACACGUGGAUAACUUACCCUUAGGACUGGGAUAACUUUGGGAAACUGAAGAUAAUACUGGAUAUUAAGCUAUGCCUGCAAUGGUUUGCUUAUGAAACGUUUUUCGCCUAAGGAUAGAUCUGCGGCUGAUUAGGUCGUUGGUGGGGUAAAGGCCCACCAAGCCGAUGAUCGGUACGGGUUGUGAGAGCAAGAGCCCGGAGAUGGAACCUGAGACAAGGUUCCAGACCCUACGGGGUGCAGCAGGCGCGAAACCUCCACAAUGUACGAAAGUGCGAUGGGGGGAUCCCAAGUGCUAUUCUUAACAGAAUAGCUUUUCAUUAGUGUAAAAAGCUUUUAGAAUAAGAGCUGGGCAAGACCAGUGCCAGCCGCCGCGGUAAUACCGGCAGCUCAAGUGGUAGCCGUUUUUAUUGGGCCUAAAGCGUUCGUAGCCGGUUUAAUAAGUCUUUGGUGAAAGCUUGUAGCUUAACUAUAAGAAUUGCUGGAGAUACUGUUAGACUUGAAGUCGGGAGAGGUUAGAGGUACUACCGGGGUAGGGGUGAAAUCCUAUAAUCCUGGGAGGACCACCUGUGGCGAAGGCGUCUAACUAGAACGAUCUUGACGGUGAGUAACGAAAGCCAGGGGCGCGAACCGGAUUAGAUACCCGGGUAGUCCUGGCCGUAAACGAUGUGGACUUGGUGUUGGAAUGGCUUCGAGUUGUUCCAGUGCCGAAGGGAAGCUGUUAAGUCCACCGCCUGGGAAGUACGGUCGCAAGACUGAAACUUAAAGGAAUUGGCGGG